UGGGGAAUAUUACACAAUGGGGGAAACCCUGAUGCAGCGACGCCGCGUGAGCGAUGAAGGCUUUCGAGUCGUAAAGCUCUGUCCUAUGGGAAGAUAAUGACGGUACCAUAGAAGAAAGCCCCGGCUAAUUACGUGCCAGCAGCCGCGGUAAUACGUAAGGGGCGAGCGUUGUCCGGAAUUAUUGGGCGUAAAGAGUGCGUAGGCGGCAAAUUAAGUCAGAUGUGAAAACUAAGGGCUCAACCCAUAGAUUGCAUCUGAAACUGAUAUGCUUGAGUCAAGGAGAGAAAAGUGGAAGUCCUAGUGUAGCGGUGAAAUGCGUAGAGAUUAGGAGGAACACCGGUGGCGAAAGCGGCUUUUUGGCCUGCAACUGACACUGAGGCGCGAAAGCGUGGGGAGCAAACAGG
rnacentral:rRNA from 1 species